CAUGAACCACCACGCCUAGCCUUACGUUUUGUGUUUUCAUCUGCAUCUGCCAUGAAUGAGGAAGAAUGCCUUUUCAUAUUCUUGGAGGGAGGUUCUGGAGAGGGUGACCAAGUGGCUUCAGGCCUUCCUGAGACACAAGGGAACCCCUCUGGAGCAGCUUCUAGUGGAAGGCCAGGCAGACCUGGAUCUAAUUUUAGUCUUUCAUGCCCUAACUCUGUGCUCUGAAGGGAGUGACUCAACUUCUCUGAGCCUCAGUUUCCCUCUCAUAAAAUGACUGGGAUUGUGAUCAGGGGUGGGGGAUAAAAAGGAAGAGAAGGCUCUUUCCGCCAUCUUUCCGCACCGCCACAAUGGUGCGCAUGAAUGUCCUGGCUGAUGCUCUCAAGAGCAUCAACAAUGCCGAAAAGAGAGGCAAACGCCAGGUGCUUAUUGGGCCAUGCUCCAAAGUCAUCAUCCUGUUUCUCACUGUGAUGAUGAAGCAUGGUUACAUUGGCAAAUUUGAAAUCAUUGAUGAUCACAGAGCUGGGAAAAUUGCUGUGAACCUCACAGGCAGGCUAAACAAGUGUGGAGUGAUCAGCCCCAGAUUUGAUGUGCAACUCAAAGAUCUGGUAAAAUGGCAGAAUAAUCUGCUUCCAUCCCGCCAGUUUGGUUUCAUUGUACUGACAACCUCAGCUGGCAUCAUGGACCAUGAAGAAGCAAGACGAAAACACACAGGAGGGAAAAUCCUGGGAUUCUUUUCCUAGGGAGGUAAUAUAUAUAUUUACAAAUAAAAUGCCUCAUGGACUCUGGUGCUUCCAAAAGAAAAAA